UAGGGAAUAUUGCAAAAUGGGCGAAAGCCCGAUGCAGCAACGCCGCGUGGGCGAUGAAGGCCUUCGGGUCGUAAAGCCCUUUUUGAGGGGAUGAGGAAGGACAGUACCCUCAGAAUAAGCCUCGGCUAACUACGUGCCAGCAGCCGCGGUAAAACGUAGGAGGCGAGCGUUAUCCGGAUUUACUGGGCGUAAAGCGCGUGUAGGCGGAUUGGAGAGUUGGAUGUGAAAGCUCCCGGCUUAACUGGGAGAGGUCGUUCAAUACUUCCAGUCUUGAGUGCAGUAGAGGGAAGUGGAAUUCCGGGUGUAGUGGUGAAAUGCGUAGAUAUCCGGAGGAACACCAGUGGCGAAAGCGGCUUCCUGGACUGUAACUGACGCUCAGACGCGAAAGCUAGGGCAGCAAACG
rnacentral:rRNA from 1 species